CAGCAAGAAGAGAGAUGGCGGCCCGGGGGAUUUGAUCAUAUUUCAGGCUUUGGUAGGUGCAGGGUGGCGUACGUUUAAGGAUGAUAAUGAGAUUGAGAGAGGGGAAAAUAUUAAGACAGAACUAGAGAAUGCAAUUAUAAAUUCGAGGAGUUCAAUAAUUAUCAUCUCGAAGAACUAUGCUACUUCAACAUGGUGCCUUGAUGAACUUGUCAAAAUCCUUGAACAUAAGAGGACAAAAGGGC